UACGGAGGGUGCGAGCGUUAAUCGGAAUUACUGGGCGUAAAGGGUGCGUAGGUGGUUUGAUAAGUUAGCUGUGAAAGUCCUGGGCUUAACCUAGGGAGGUCAGCUAAGACUGUUAGACUUGAGUCUAGGAGAGGGUAGUGGAAUUUCCGGUGUAGCGGUGAAAUGCGUAGAGAUCGGAAGGAACACCAGUGGCGAAGGCGGCUACCUGGCCUAAGACUGACACUGAGGCACGAAAGCGUGGGGAGCGAACAGG
rnacentral:rRNA from 1 species